rnacentral:rRNA from 1 species
UACGGAGGGUGCAAGCGUUAUCCGGAUUCACUGGGUUUAAAGGGUGCGUAGGCGGGCAGGUAAGUCAGUGGUGAAAUCUCCGAGCUUAACUCGGGAAACUGCCUUUGAUACUAUCUGUCUUGAAUAUUGUGGAGGUAAGCGGAAUAUGUCAUGUAGCGGUGAAAUGCUUAGAGAUGACAUAGAACACCUAUUGCGAAGGCAGCUUACUACGCAUAUAUUGACGCUGAGGCACGAAAGCGUGGGGAUCAAACAGG